GGUUAAGCGACUAAGCGUACACGGUGGAUGCCCUGGCAGUCAGAGGCGAUGAAGGACGUGCUAAUCUGCGAUAAGCGUCGAUGAGGUGAUAUGAACCGUUAUAACCGGCGAUUUCCGAAUGGGGAAACCCAGUGUGUUUCGACACACUAUCAUUAACUGAAUCCAUAGGUUAAUGAGGCGAACCGGGGAACUGAAACAUCUAAGUACCCCGAGGAAAAGAAAUCAACCGAGAUUCCCCCAGUAGCGGCGAGCGAACGGGGAGGAGCCCAGAGCCUGAAUCAGUGUGUGUGUUAGUGGAAGCGUCUGGAAAGGCGUGCGAUACAGGGUGACAGCCCCGUACACAAAAAUGCACAUAUUGUGAGCUCGAUGAGUAGGGCGGGACACGUGGUAUCCUGUCUGAAUAUGGGGGACCAUCCUCCAAGGCUAAAUACUCCUGACUGACCGAUAGUGAACCAGUACCGUGAGGGAAAGGCGAAAAGAACCCCGGCGAGGGGAGUGAAAAAGAACCUGAAACCGUGUACGUACAAGCAGUGGGAGCCUCUUAAUGGGGUGACUGCGUACCUUUUGUAUAAUGGGUCAGCGACUUAUAUUCUGUAGCAAGGUUAACCGAAUAGGGGAGCCGAAGGGAAACCGAGUCUUAACUGGGCGUUAAGUUGCAGGGUAUAGACCCGAAACCCGGUGAUCUAGCCAUGGGCAGGUUGAAGGUUGGGUAACACUAACUGGAGGACCGAACCGACUAAUGUUGAAAAAUUAGCGGAUGACUUGUGGCUGGGGGUGAAAGGCCAAUCAAACCGGGAGAUAGCUGGUUCUCCCCGAAAGCUAUUUAGGUAGCGCCUCGUGAAUUCAUCUCCGGGGUAGAGCACUGUUUCGGCAAGGGGGUCAUCCCGACUUACCAACCCGAUGCAAACUGCGAAUACCGGAGAAUGUUAUCACGGGAGACACACGGCGGGUGCUAACGUCCGUCGUGAAGAGGGAAACAACCCAGACCGCCAGCUAAGGUCCCAAAGUCAUGGUUAAGUGGGAAACGAUGUGGGAAGGCCCAGACAGCCAGGAUGUUGGCUUAGAAGCAGCCAUCAUUUAAAGAAAGCGUAAUAGCUCACUGGUCGAGUCGGCCUGCGCGGAAGAUGUAACGGGGCUAAACCAUGCACCGAAGCUGCGGCAGCGACACUAUGUGUUGUUGGGUAGGGGAGCGUUCUGUAAGCCUGUGAAGGUGGCCUGUGAGGGUUGCUGGAGGUAUCAGAAGUGCGAAUGCUGACAUAAGUAACGAUAAAGCGGGUGAAAAGCCCGCUCGCCGGAAGACCAAGGGUUCCUGUCCAACGUUAAUCGGGGCAGGGUGAGUCGACCCCUAAGGCGAGGCCGAAAGGCGUAGUCGAUGGGAAACAGGUUAAUAUUCCUGUACUUGGUGUUACUGCGAAGGGGGACGGAGAAGGCUAUGUUGGCCGGGCGACGGUUGUCCCGGUUUAAGCGUGUAGGCUGGUUUUCCAGGCAAAUCCGGAAAACCAAGGCUGAGGCGUGAUGACGAGGCACUACGGUGCUGAAGCGACAAAUGCCCUGCUUCCAGGAAAAGCCUCUAAGCAUCAGGUAACAUCAAAUCGUACCCAAAACCGACACAGGUGGUCAGGUAGAGAAUACCAAGGCGCUUGAGAGAACUCGGGUGAAGGAACUAGGCAAAAUGGUGCCGUAACUUCGGGAGAAGGCACGCUGAUAUGUAGGUGAAGCGACUUGCUCGUGGAGCUGAAAUCAGUCGAAGAUACCAGCUGGCUGCAACUGUUUAUUAAAAACACAGCACUGUGCAAACACGAAAGUGGACGUAUACGGUGUGACGCCUGCCCGGUGCCGGAAGGUUAAUUGAUGGGGUUAGCGGUAACGCGAAGCUCUUGAUCGAAGCCCCGGUAAACGGCGGCCGUAACUAUAACGGUCCUAAGGUAGCGAAAUUCCUUGUCGGGUAAGUUCCGACCUGCACGAAUGGCGUAAUGAUGGCCAGGCUGUCUCCACCCGAGACUCAGUGAAAUUGAACUCGCUGUGAAGAUGCAGUGUACCCGCGGCAAGACGGAAAGACCCCGUGAACCUUUACUAUAGCUUGACACUGAACAUUGAGCCUUGAUGUGUAGGAUAGGUGGGAGGCUUUGAAGUGUGGACGCCAGUCUGCAUGGAGCCGACCUUGAAAUACCACCCUUUAAUGUUUGAUGUUCUAACGUUGGCCCGUAAUCCGGGUUGCGGACAGUGUCUGGUGGGUAGUUUGACUGGGGCGGUCUCCUCCUAAAGAGUAACGGAGGAGCACGAAGGUUGGCUAAUCCUGGUCGGACAUCAGGAGGUUAGUGCAAUGGCAUAAGCCAGCUUGACUGCGAGCGUGACGGCGCGAGCAGGUGCGAAAGCAGGUCAUAGUGAUCCGGUGGUUCUGAAUGGAAGGGCCAUCGCUCAACGGAUAAAAGGUACUCCGGGGAUAACAGGCUGAUACCGCCCAAGAGUUCAUAUCGACGGCGGUGUUUGGCACCUCGAUGUCGGCUCAUCACAUCCUGGGGCUGAAGUAGGUCCCAAGGGUAUGGCUGUUCGCCAUUUAAAGUGGUACGCGAGCUGGGUUUAGAACGUCGUGAGACAGUUCGGUCCCUAUCUGCCGUGGGCGCUGGAGAACUGAGGGGGCUGCUCCUAGUACGAGAGGACCGGAGUGGACGCAUCACUGGUGUUCGGGUUGUCAUGCCAAUGGCACUGCCCGGUAGCUAAAUGCGGAAGAGAUAAGUGCUGAAAGCAUCUAAGCACGAAACUUGCCCCGAGAUGAGUUCUCCCUGACUCCUUGAGGGUCCUGAAGGAACGUUGAAGACGACGACGUUGAUAGGCCGGGUGUGUAAGCGCAGCGAUGCGUUGAGCUAACCGGUACUAAUGAACCGUGAGGCUUAACCUU
rnacentral:rRNA from 1 species